CAGCCGCCGCGGUAAUACAGAGGGUGCGAGCGUUAAUCGGAUUUACUGGGCGUAAAGCGUGCGUAGGCGGCUUCUUAAGUCGGAUGUGAAAUCCCUGAGCUUAACUUAGGAAUUGCAUUCGAUACUGGGAAGCUAGAGUAUGGGAGAGGAUGGUAGAAUUCCAGGUGUAGCGGUGAAAUGCGUAGAGAUCUGGAGGAAUACCGGUGGCGAAGGCGGCCCCCUGGACAAAGACUGACGCUCAGGUGCGAAAGCGUGGGGAGCAAACAGGAUUAGAUACCCCUGUAGUCCCUGUCUCUUAUAC
rnacentral:rRNA from 1 species